AUUGAACGCUGGCGGCAGGCUUAACACAUGCAAGUCGAGCGGGGUGAUGGUGCUUGCACUAUCACUUAGCGGCGGACGGGUGAGUAAUGCUUAGGAAUCUGCCUAUUAGUGGGGGACAACAUCUCGAAAGGGAUGCUAAUACCGCAUACGUCCUACGGGAGAAAGCAGGGGAUCACUUGUGACCUUGCGCUAAUAGAUGAGCCUAAGUCGGAUUAGCUAGUCGGUGGGGUAAAGGCCUACCAAGGCGACGAUCUGUAGCGGGUCUGAGAGGAUGAUCCGCCCCACUGGGACUGAGACACGGCCCAGACGCCUACGGGAGGAAGCAGUGGGGAAUAUUGGACAAUGGGGGGAACCCUGAUCCAGCCAUGCCGCGUGUGUGAAGAGGGCCUUAUGGUUGUAAAGCACUUUAAGCGAGGAGGAGGCUCUUUUGGUUAAUACCCAAGAUGAGUGGACGUUACUCGCAGAAUAAGCACCGGCUAACUCUGUGCCAGCCGCCGCAGUAA
rnacentral:rRNA from 1 species